rnacentral:misc_RNA from 1 species
AAAGUCGUAACAAGGUCUCCGUUGGUGAACCAGCGGAGGGAUCAUUAAAGAGUUGCAAAACUCCCAACCAUUGUGAACGAACCGUUAUGCUCAGGCGGGCAGUGCUCUGUCUCUGCCAGCCGACGGCAUCAAACUCUUAAUUCAGUGGAUAUCUGAGUAGCUUAUUUAAUAAGUCAAAACUUUCAACAACGGAUCUCUUGGUUCUG